CAGGACCCUGCAGAACUCUUGCAUCUUUCUACACCACCAAUCAGAAGCAGGAAGAGAAAACAAUGAUCUCCAGGAAGAAACUCCUUUCAUACGACUCCAGCAGAGGACCUGCUCGACCUCCUGAUCUACUGAUGAUGAUACUUUGGAGGAAAAGGCUGAGACAAUCGCCCUGGGACGAUGAAGAGAGAGAAGACCCAGAGGACAGAGGAGACGCAGGACAUCCUGUUGAAGAUCCAAGGAUCUAAUGAUGACCAGCUUCCUGUCAGGACGGACAGAUAAGACGGAUUGAAUCUCAUCAGUCUGUGAACUUCCACCCAAUCACCACCAGUCAGGAAGAGGAAGAGUGGACAGAAAAAAGCAAGAAAUCUUUUCUCCACGACAUGAUGAGCAGAACAUCAGAAAUAGUUCAGACCACAUGCCGUCCUGGAACCCGAUCCUAGAAGAACCAUCCUUUUGUUCUGUUGGAUCAAUAAACCGUUUAAACGAUCUUCUGUUGUCUGAGGUUGUUGCCUGAACAAGGGUCCCAUAAACAAUCACCAUGACAAUCAGGUGUGA